UCUCUUACUCAUUCAGAUUAUUUAUUAAGAGCAAAAGUCGGGCCAUCCCAUCGUGUGAUAUUGCAACAUGAAAAGUCACAUACAUACUAAGGAGACCCCACAGAAUUGAGAGCCUUUCAACAGUACAGAGCCAUAGAUUACGAAGUUAAAAUACAAAUGAUCCCCCAGAUUUGGCAGGAAACAAGUACAAUAUGAGGAGGCCUGGAAUGGAAGGGCACUUACUUUUCAAUAAGGCAGUUACAAAAUGGGAAAAAAAACCCCCAAAACCUUGUACCCCAAAAUAUACUCUGAUGAGCGUAGCAGACAAUAGAAAUGUAAAAGAAGGAUCCUGUAUAACCCUCUGUCAUUGGCAAAUGUGUGCAUUAAGUGAAAGCAACUGAAGGGUUUGUGUUUUAAGAUGCAAGCUAGAUGAAACAACUGACUGUAGACAUUUCUACCUCAAGAACAGUUCAUAUCUUGCCCUAGGCUGGGUUCUACCUCAAAACACCAGACCCACUUUACCAUUUCUAACCAUAAACUUGGAAACAGUCUAUAAUACAAUGAAAGGAAUAAAAAGGCACCCCUAGAGCACCAUGCUUCCCAAGGCAUGAUCUUGAGCUCAUCUGCCCUUCGGUUCGACUGCCCAGCUCAGUAACAGGGACCAGGAGCCAGGGCCAGCUGAAUUACACAACCUCAAAGGAUCGCCUGGAAGGCAGAUAUCUGACCAAGAGAUCACAGACCAAGCACAUUUCAUGAGAAUUUAAAUGCUAGGACAAUACUACCUCUCCCAAUAGGGCUUUUGAACCCUGGUUUUAAAUAACAGGCUAGAUCUGUUUUCCCUUACCACUCAUUUUGCAAAACUCAACUGGCCUAAACAUUUCGCUCAAUCUUGAGUUCUGCAGGUUGGUCCCUGAGAGCUAGGUUGGCCUUGGGAAUUUCUGCUCAAUUUUAAGUUCUCAAGAAUCUGAGGGCAGCCGAUUUAGACUGAAUUAGAGUCAUCCUAUAGGUCAGAAAGAAAGAAUGCUAGACAGGUCAAGAGGGCCAGAGGUUGGUUCUGAUAAUGCCAUAUGACCUCAGGCACAUCUUUUUGAGUUUUAGUUUCCCCAUCUCUAAAAACGGAUGAUUGGACAACAGCAAGCUUAACAGACUUUCCACCUUGAAAAUACGGCACUUCUCUGACGCUUAGACCUUAAGUCCUGAAGCGUUGUUUUCUCAGCAAAAACAGUGCAAAGUCCUUACAGGAAUCUAAGGUACAAGCCCUGGGCAACCAUGAAAACUUUAAACUUCAUGCAAAGCAACGAAGUUAUAAAUCCUCCAGCUGAACAAUUUCCUGAUGAUGUGAGCAUCCGUUUUUGUGGGGCAAGCACAGAACUGAGUCCUCAUCUGUCUGAGGUUUAGCAGGCUGCUAACAUCUUCUCAUCCCCCUCUCCUCUCCCCAAGCUUUGGCAGAAACAAGCCAGCCAGUAGGGUUUUCUCAACAUUCUCCAACAAGGAACUGAGUGGACUAAUACUCAGGGGUAAGGACAGUGUACCAAAGUGUCCAUGUCCUAGCAUUGUUUCUUUCCAAAAGGCAAACGCUAUGCUUUGGGACAGUGCCAGCAAUUAGGUGCUUUGCCAAAAAUAACUUGUCCCAUGUGGCCCCCAUGGGGCAGAGACUAAGAUGGAAAUUACAGAGAACAUAGAAAAGCCAGAGGUUUACAAAGAACAGGCUUCUCCACGAGGUAGUGGGUUCUCUGUCCUCGGAGGUGUUUAAGUCCAGACUGCUCAACCCCUUGGUGGGAUGGUUGUAGGCAGAAUGUCAGCACCUAUGUGGAGACUAGACUGGAUGACUUAACAGCCCUUUCCCAACUUUGAGAUCCUGUCAUUGUAAUGACUGAGAGCGCCUUUGGAUGACUUCCAUGAAGCAACUGCUCUGGGCAACAGCCUCCCUCAAUAGGCAAGGCCCCCAGAGUAAGCUCCUUCUUCCAUCCUCUCCCUCCCAACAGGCAGUUGCCCUGCAGGAUAUUAACAAAAAGCUUCCCACAAAAUAAAAAGCCUAAACACCAAAAUUAGAUGCAACACUGCAGCUGCAAACAAUUGUUACUAUCUGUUCUCUGAAAGGCUAGCAGUGACUAUUUAGCUAUGACAGGAACAUCUAAAAACUUGGCAGCUGUAACAUGUAAGUAAAAUUCCUCUUCAUUUUACAACACCGGUCUUGAAUCCUUUGGUUUUUAAUCUUUCAUGAGAUUCAGCUGUGAUCUUUUUUUUUAUAUGCUGUUGCCAACCUAAGAGUUUGUUCCUUGAAGCAAGAAGUUUGUCCAUUGGUUUUUAAAACAUCUUAAAACAACAUGAAUGGCAGGAUACUGAUGUUUCCAUGUGAGAACCUUCAGGGCAUAUCAAAGAACCAUACCAGGCUGGAACUGAGGCAGGAACCAUACUCUUUAAGAAGACAACGCCAGUUCUGGAUUUCAAAUUCCAGUUUUGCCCAGAAGCACCAAGAGGAAAGAAGGCAAUGCUGCUACGUCACAGGUGGAGAGAAGCGCAAGAGUCCUUGAUGGAUGGUAUAAAAAUGGAGCAGCCAAGAUGAACAUUGCUUUCCCCACACCCCACUGCUCCCUGAAGCCAGACCCCGUUGCUCUGGAGGGCCUGGCCACUUCUCACAGGCAGGAGUCCCUUGCCCACAGAUAGAGCCACCAGAAACUGCAGAAGAGGCUAAGGCGAGUGGUUUAGUGGUUUGAUGAAAGAACAGAUUUCUGGACAUAAGAAAAACAUAGGUUCAAAUAGCUUUGUCUUUUCUCUCACCUGACCUGUUGAAAGGUCAGAUUGAAAAGGUUGAAAAGAUGCCCACAACCUCCACUUUCCACAAGCACCUCUCCUUAGAGGAAAGACAAGGGACCCAAGUACACACACAGCAUCUGGCUGAAGGUAAAACAUUUCCCCAGGUUUCGCUUUGGAAUAAAGAUUCUUUCAGACACAAUUGAACAGAUGGAUCCUACCAUCAUAUAUUCUUGUGCAGAAGCUAUUGUCUCUCUCAACUGGGAAAACAGAUUUGCUGCUAAAGAAAUAGUGAUGUGACCUACACGCCCACAAUUCUGGUUUACGUAUCAGAAAAAUACACUUUUUUACUCAUUAAGAUAUGGACAUUUCCAUGGAGCAAGUUAACAAUGCCUUAACCUGCAGGGAGAGAAUCUCUAAACACAUAGUGAAUGUGAAUGACUGAAAACACUCACAGAGCACUGGACAUGCCAUCCACAGCCAGGAGGCAUACCAAAAUAGGAUGCCCUCACAGUCCAGAGUAUAUUCUAUAUACAACCAUUUAUAUAUAUUUAAUUUAAAAGGCUGCAAUCUGCUAGACAUGCAUUUUGAACACAGGCGAAAGCUUUGCUGCAAUGGAACAUACUGCAUUUUAGUGAGCGUGGUGACCCUGUCCCCAUUCCACAGAAAGCGUGGUACUCUGCUCCACAGAACUGAGACCUUUGGACACUCCGCCGCCCUGCUCAGUAGGGGGUUUAGUCCUGACUUCUCUGUGAUGGUGCUCAGAUUAAGAUGAAAACUUCUAAAAAUACUUGCCCCAACCUACUAAAUAUGUCAGUGUGUCAAUGCAUUUAUUACCAAGAAGCUUGGCUGAAGUCAUAAUAUCUAACUGCACCCCAAAGAGUGAAGCAUAGUGGGGUGCAUAAGGGACCGUAUCUUCUGUGAGGGUCUCUAUAUCAGUGUUUCUGGAACCUCAACGAAUAGUUUUGCACAUGCAACUGUCCUGAAAUCCUUAUCUGAUCAGAAACUUCCUUGUUGGUGCAUCAGGAUUUCCUCCACAUUCUAGCAGUUAAGUGGUGAGCAACAGAAAUGGCAGAGGUCUCAGUCAUGAGAGGUGUGAAGCGGAUGUUACAAGGCUGGCACUAUUAGUGACAGCUCAAUUAGCCAAUACCUACUGAUUGAGUGCCUACUGUGUACAAGGCACAGGGUGAGUGAGGGGGACCAGUGUCAAACUGAUCUGCUGAUAAAUGACAAAGCUUGCAACAAAGCGGGCGGGAUAUCUAUGUCGCCAGCGGGCAGCAUGCAAGUCCAGAUGUGGGUCUGCUCAUGCACUUCCAUGGCCAAUUGCACCUUGCUGCUAUUCCAAGCUACAGCUCACACGUGGCAGCCUGGUGGAUAAGGUGAUUACCAAAAUAUUUCUUAUCCCACAUUUCCAGUAGAAUUGAUUUAAUGCUUUGUUGAAUGCUGAAAUACAUAGUUUUUAAUU
rnacentral:lncRNA from 1 species